GGCCUUGACAUGCAGAGAACUUUCCAGAGAUGGAUUGGUGCCUUCGGGAACUCUGACACAGGUGCUGCAUGGCUGUCGUCAGCUCGUGUCGUGAGAUGGUGGGUUAAGUCCCGUAACGAGCGCAACCUUGUCCUUAGUUACCAGCACGUUAUGGUGGGCACUCUAAGGAGACUGCCGGUGACAAACCGGAAGGAAGGUGGGGAUGACGUCAAGUCAUCAUGGCCCUUAUGUCCUGGGCUACACACGUGCUACAAUGGCCGGUACAGAGCGCAGCGAAGCCGCGAGGUGGAGCGAAUCGACAAAAAGCCGGUCUCAGUACGGAUUGGAGUCUGAAACCCGACUCCAUGAGGUUGGAAUCGCUAGUAAUCGCGCAUCAGCAUGGCGCGGUGAAUACGUUCCCGGGCCUU
rnacentral:rRNA from 1 species